rnacentral:lncRNA from 1 species
CCAAAGACAGCCCCCAGCCCCGGGCCAGGCCUGCUCGGUGCCUGCACAACUGGCUACAUACCACUGCUUCUCCCUGGUCCCUUCGUUUAGCACCUACAGCCAAAUAUGGAUAGAUUAGUUGAGUUGUUUAAUUCAUUCAAAAGUAUUUUCCGAGCCCCAACCAUGUACCCAGCUCUAUAACGGAGGUUGCAGAAAUGAAGAGAGAAUCAAGGGGAGAUAAGAAGUGUUUGUAUAUUAAUGACUCUAAUCAAGGUGACAAAGAUAAGAGUGUUCAGAACUCUGGAGAUAAAGUGCUCUGAGGAAAGUGGCAACAGAGAAUUCCAACUCCUACCAGUCCUGGCAUAUCAGCAGUACCUCCCUGGCCGUGGGCGACUGUGGAAAGGUUACAGGAGAGUCUGGAAGAACGUGCACAUCCCCAGUGCUCUGUGGCUGGACAGGCAAUCCUGA